AUUGAACGCUGGCGGCAGGCCUAACACAUGCAAGUCGAACGAGUGGCGGACGGGUGAGUAAUGUCUGGGAAUCUGCCUGAUGGAGGGGGAUAACUACUGGAAACGGUAGCUAAUACCGCAUACCAUCAGAUGUGCCCAGAUGGGAUUAGCUAGUGGGUGGGGUAACGGCUUACCAAGGCGACGAUCCCUAGCUGGUCUGAGAGGAUGACCAGCCACACUGGGACUGAGACACGGUCCAGACGCCUACGGGAGGCAGCAGUGGGGAAUAGUGCACAAUGGGCGCAAGCCUGAUACAGCCAUGCCGCGUGUAUGAAGAAGGCCUUCGGGUUGUAAAGUACUUUCAGCAGGGAGGCGUUACCCACAGAAGAAGCACCGGCUAACUCCGUGCCAGCAGCCGCGGUAAUUC
rnacentral:rRNA from 1 species